UACGAAGGGAGCUAGCGUUGUUCGGAAUCACUGGGCGUAAAGCGCACGUAGGCGGAUUUGUCAGUCAGGGGUGAAAUCCCGGGGCUCAACCUCGGAACUGCCUUUGAUACAGCAAGUCUUGAGUUCGAGAGAGGGAUGUGGAAUUCCAGGUGUAGCGGUGAAAUGCGUAGAUAUCUGGAGGAACACCGGUGGCGAAGGCGGCAUCCUGGACCGACACUGACGCUGAGGAGCGAAAGCCAGGGGAGCAAACGGG
rnacentral:rRNA from 1 species